ACACCGGCAGCUCAAGUGGUAGCCGCUUUUAUUGGGUCUAAAGGGUCUGUAGCCGGCCGGAUAAGUCUCUUGAGAAAUCUGGCAGCUUAACUGUCAGGCUUUCAGGAGAUACUGUCUGGCUCGAGGCCGGGAGAGGUGAGAGGUACUUCAGGGGGAGGGGUGAAAUCUUGUAAUCCUUGAAGGACCACCAGUGGCGAAGGCGUCUCACCAGAACGGACCUGACGGCAAGGGACGAAAGCUAGGGGCACGAACCGGAUUAGAUACCCGGGUAGUCCUAGCCGUAAACGAUACUCGCUAGGUGUCGGCCACGGUGCGACCGUUGUCGGUGCCGUAGGGAAGCCGUGAAGCGAGCCACCUGGGAAGUACGGCCGCAAGGCUGAAACUUAAAUGAAUUGGCGGGG
rnacentral:rRNA from 1 species